rnacentral:rRNA from 1 species
GCCUGUGAAAUGAACCUCAGUUCAUCCCUGAUCGCUCCCUACACGAACCCGCAACCAACCCCCAUGAAGACGAACAGGAGCUAUUUAAAGGAGGUACAGCUCCUUUAAAACAGAAUACAACCUCCCACAGCGGAUAAUUCUUCCCCAAACACAACUGUUGGCCUUCAAGCAGCCACCAACAAAGAGUGCGUCAAAGCUCACAUCAAAAAAUACCACAACUGCACGAAUCCCUCCCCACUAACAGGCCAACCUAUAACUAUAGGAGGAUUAAUGCUGAAAUAAGUAACUAGGGGCCCCUCACCCCCUCUCAAGCGCGAACUUACAUCUCACAUUAUUACCCACAACAUGAUAUCUACACCCCCACAAGCACACCCUAUCCCCAAACCACUGUUACACCAACCCAGGAGCGCAACAAUAGAAAGAUUUAAAUCUGUAGAAGGAAUUAGGCAAACUCAAGGCCCGACUGUUUACCAAAAACAUAGCCUUCAGCACACCAAGUAUUGAAGGUGAUGCCUGCCCAGUGACACCCCACGUUUAACGGCCGCGGUAUCCUA